UACGUAGGUGGCAAGCGUUGUCCGGAAUUACUGGGCGUAAAGCGUGCGCAGGCGGUUCGUUGUGUCGGUGGUGAAAUCCCCGGGCUUAACCUGGGAUGGCCAUGGAAACUGGCGAACUGGAGUGCGGCAGAGGGGGGUGGAAUUCCGCGGUGGUAGCAUGUGAAAUGCGUAGGAGAUGCGGAGGAACACCGAUGGCGAAGGCAGCCCCCUGGGCUAGCACUGACGCCUCAGGCACGAAAGCGUGGGGAGCAAACAGGG
rnacentral:rRNA from 1 species